rnacentral:lncRNA from 1 species
AAUUAAUUUAUUUUUUGAGGAAGAUCAGCCCUGAGCUAACAUCUGCUGCCAAUCCUCCUCUUUUUGCUGAGGAAGACUGGCCCUGAGCUAACAUCCGUGCCCAUCAUCCUCUACUCCACAUAUGGGACACCUACCACAGCAUGGCUUUCCAAGUGAUGCCAUGUCCACACCCAGGUCCAAACCCGUGAACCCCGGGCCUCCCGAAGCGAAACAUGAGCACUUAACCGCUACGCCACCGGGCCUGCCCUAUAGAUGCCUAACACAGCAUGGCUUGCCACACAGUGCCAUGUCCACACCGGGGAUCUGAACAGGCGAACCCUGGGACACUGAAGCGGAAAACGUGAACUUAACUGUUGUGCCACCGGACAGGCCCCCAAGAUCUUAUUCUUAAAAUGCAAAAUUGUUCAAAGGCUUAUUUCAGCUGACCAACGUAAAGAAGAUUCAUUGAAGGUGUUUCAGGCACAGCACCAGCCCCAGCUAAACUUCUCUGUAAGGAUGGCAUGUGUCUGCUCCUCUUCCCUUGGGAUCAGGGAAGAUAAGUGAAGAAACUGAGUGUCCUUGAUCUCGAGAUACUGUCAGACUAUCAUUGUAUACCUGAAAAAGGAAAUUUAAGAG